rnacentral:rRNA from 1 species
GACGAACGCUGGCGGCGUGCUUAACACAUGCAAGUCGAACGGAAAGGCCCUGCUUUUGUGGGGUGCUCGAGUGGCGAACGGGUGAGUAACACGUGAGUAACUUGCCCUUGACUUUGGGAUAACUUCAGGAAACUGGGGCUAAUACCGGAUAGGAGCUCCUGCUGCAUGGUGGGGGUUGGAAAGUUUCGGCGGUUGGGGAUGGACUCGCGGCUUAUCAGCUUGUUGGUGGGGUAGUGGCUUACCAAGGCUUUGACGGGUAGCCGGCCUGAGAGGGUGACCGGCCACAUUGGGACUGGGAUACGGCCCAGACUCCUACGGGAGGCAGCAGUGGGGAAUAUUGCACAAUGGGCGGAAGCCUGAUGCAGCAACGCCGCGUGCGGGAUGACGGCCUUCGGGUUGUAAACCGCUUUCGCCUGUGACGAAGCGUGAGUGACGGUAAUGGGUAAAGAAGCACCGGCUAACUACGUG